rnacentral:lncRNA from 1 species
AUGGGACGUCUGCUGUUCUUCCGAGCUUCCCCUCUCUCUGAAGCCGUUUCUGUCUUUGUAACUAUGGGGGCGCAUGGCAGCACGCUCUGCUUUCUCACGUCACUGACAUGCUUCGCAGGCUCCUCCUCCUCUCUGUCGUGGAAAUGGUGUUGUCCUGCAUGUGUGGGCUGCAUCACCCCCUCCUCGUUCUGGGCAGCGCUCUCCCAGCCAGCCCUGUGCAUGUCAGGGGUUGCGGCGGGCUUCUCUGUGGAUGGCUCCUGGCUUCCCGUCUGCAGCCUGAGGGGCAGACUGCCCCAGUCUCCAUGUGCUGGAACCCUGCUCGCUCACUUCCUCCUCCAACCAGGGAUGGUGCUGGUGUUGUCCCCUUUGUGUAGAAGAGAAGAACGGAGACUUACAGAGGGUGACUGCUAGCAGAGCUGGGAUGCCAGUCAAGGCUUGUGAGCUGCCAGCACCUCAGCCGUGAGCCACCAGUCGACUGCUUCUGACUUGGGCUCCCAUGAGACCUUCACAGGACUGUUGUGUGUCAGUGCCAUCCGAGCAUCAGGGAGUUGCCAGGUGAGUGGUGCUUUGGGAUCAACAUCAGGAUACACUGACGUACAGUUUGACCUUCUGUUUUUAAAAUCAUCAGAAUGACCAAGAGUUUCCUUUCUCCAUUUGCGGUGCUGAUGCUCAGAAAAGAAUUUCUAUAUGGCUUCCUUGAGAGUUCCUUCUUAGUCAUGGACCUCCUGUUGAUAUGUGUUGGAACAUUCAGCUGCUCAGAAAGCUAAACCACAACCCCUCCCCCUUGGGUCUGACCGUAUUUGUUUAGGGGUCCACUCAUCUGUUCCCUUGACUUUCUGAUCUUUGUGUGUUUGGAAAGUAUUGAUCUCCUUUCGAUGUCACAGAACUCUUUUCACACAGUCAAAUCACUGGG